rnacentral:lncRNA from 1 species
GGUGUGUACUAGUACAUUAAUAUAUACCAGUAUAGACAGACAGACUAGUGUCCUGUCCAGGGGGUGUACUAGUACAUUAAUAUAUACCAGUAUAGUCAGACAGACUAGUGUCCUGUCCAGGGGGUGUACUAGUACAUUAAUAUAUACCAGUAUAGACAGACAGACUAGUGUCCUGUCCAGGGGGUGUACUAGUACAUUAAUAUAUACCAGUAUAGACAGACAGACUAGUGUCCUGUCCAGGGGGUGUACUAGUACAUUAAUAUAUACCAGUAUAGUCAGACAGACUAGUGUCCUGUCCAGGGGGUGUACUAGUACAUUAAUAUAUACCAGUAUAGACAGACAGACUAGUGUCCUGUCCAGGGGGUGUACUAGUACAUUAAGUUGCCUCACGCUUCAGAAACAGGAGACAGGCUCCUGCCCUUUGGGCCGCUCUGGCUUGGACAAGGCUUCCUUAUUUUGGCAGUAUGCUCACCGAGUAAGACACUGAUCUAGAGAGAUACUACUCCUAUGAUUAAUCACUCUAUGGCUGUGUGCUCCAAAUGGCACCCUAUUCCCUACAUAGUACACUACUUUUAACCACAGCCCUAUGGGCUCUGGUCAAUAGUAGUGCAGUAUAUAGGGAAUAGGGUGCCUUACCUUUUGGGACGCCUGCCUACAUCAGUGAUUAAUUAAUACAACCUUAGUUCUCCAGAGGGAUGAACGGUUCAUAGUUAACUAUGUGCUGAACGUAAUGAGAUGGCAGAUUACCUCAUCAUAUUAACAAGAGACUGGAAACAGAGUUGGAAACCAAUUAGGAACAUGCAUCAACACUUCUCUCCUCUAUUGCCAGCAGUAUGAUUAUGAAGAACAAAAAAUAAACAACAGAAUUCUCUACUUUUAAAUGAAAGGGAACAUUCUAGGCUAGGGAACAUUCUAGGCUAGGGAACAUUCUAGGCUAGGGAACAUUCUAGGCUAGGGAACAUUCCAGGCUAGGGAACAUUCCAGGCUAGGGAACAUUCUAGGCUAGGGAACAUUCCAGGCUAGGGAACAUUCUAGGCUAGGGAACAUUCUAGGCUAGGGGAACAUUCCAGGCUAGGGAACAUUCUAGGCUAGGGAACAUUCCAGGCUAGGGAACAUUCUAGGCUAGGGAACAUUCUUUCAGCUAGUUUAAGCUAUGUUCAUAUUCCAGAUGCACAACCAUCCCAUAGAUCAUGUGGAAUUAUACCUACUGUAAAUGAUACCUACUGUAAAUGAUACAUACUGUAACCGAUACCUACUGUAAAUGGUAAUACCUACUGUAAAUGAUACCUACUGUAAAUGAUACAUACUGUAAAUGAUAUGAUACAUACUGUAAAUGAUACAUACUGUAAAUGAUACAUACUGUAAAUGACACGGCAGGCUUACGCCAUGACCUCUCUGUUAAAGACAGUUAAUUCCUCUGAUUUGCCUCCAACACCUCUGUCCCUAAUCUCCUUGUUUCUUUCUAAAGGCCUUGGUUAGAAGGUUUCCCCCUGCAGGUCAACUGUUGGUUGGUGAGCGAGGUAGUAGCGAUGUAACAGCAAAACAGAAACGUUGGAAGAAUAUUCAUCAGGUAGCUAAGCGCCUUCACAUGAAGUUUUAGCUGCUGUAUGGGCACGAGCCAUACUCUGGUGAAACUCAGAGAGAUGUGUUCUAGAGGGUCAUUGGGGAUCUAAGAACGUAUUAGUUUGACAGGAGGGAGGCGGAUUGAUAUAGAUUUCUGUAAUGAAAAACUUUUGAGGAAUCCACAGUGGAGCUUAACACAAUUAAAUCCACUCAACUCCCAGCAGGGAGGAGAACAGAUGGAGAGAUUUGAUGUUUCUGUACUAUAUUAUCUGGAGACAAUCUCUUUAUGAUAUGACCUUUAGGCUUAUAGGGGAGGACAGGGGUGAGAGGGUCAAGCCUGAGAGACUGGUGCUCUACUCUACACAAUAAUUUAUACAUUGUCUUACUUGCUGUGUGGGGUUAUUUGGUGCAAAAUCAAUGACGAGCGCCAGCAUUUUUUUGUGAAGAGGGGAAUAGGACUAAACAGGAAAUUCAAUAUCCCUGCUACUGGGAGGAGUCAGAAUGUGUUCCAUCUGAUACUACUGGGAGGAGUCAGAAUGUGUUCCAUCUGAUACUACUGGGAGGAGUCAGAAUGUGUUCCAUCUGAUACAACUGGGAGGAGUCAGAAUGUGUUCCAUCUGAUACAACUGGGAGGAGUCAGAAUGUGUUCCAUCUGAUACUAGCGGGAGGAGUCAGAAUGUGUUCCAUCUGAUACUACUGGGAGGAGUCAGAAUGUGUUCCAUCUGAUACUACUGGGAGGAGUCAGAAUGUGUUCCAUCUGAUACUACUGGGAGGAGUCAGAAUGUGUUCCAUCUGAUACUAGCGGGAGGAGUCAGAAUGUGUUCCAUCUGAUACUACUGGGAGGAGUCAGAAUGUGUUCCAUCUGAUACUACUGGGAGGAGUCAGAAUGUGUUCCAUCUGAUACUAGUGGGAGGAGUCAGAACCCUGAAAAUGAUCCUCUUAGUAUUUUCAUGUUUAAAUUGAACAACAAAGUUAAACUAAAUAUGUGAUGUUUGUAUAUAGAGUAGAGACACUAACGUAACGGGGAGCCAUUGGAGAGAAGAUUCAAUAUGAACGUACUAUUUAUAUGUAGAUACAGAUUGAUAUUGAAAUACUAACGGAAUGAGAGCUACUGAAGAUCUGCAAUAUCUUCAGUAACAAUGGGAAGAAUGCCAACCAACACUGUCUCUUCUGUAGCUCAGUCUUUGUUUCCGUGGCUAGGGGCUCAGAGAAGCUCAGACAGAGAAAUGCCACGUCCCAAACCUGUAGACUGGAAAGGUCAGUGUCUUGGCCACUACAGACCUUUCACAGGGUCAGGAUGUUGACAUUUUGUUCAAUUCUCUCACUUUAUCCCCAGGAUCUCAGCAGGAUUUGGCCAGUAUUGCUUAUUGUGUGAAGUUUCUUCAGUUGUUUUUAGUUUAGUCCUAUUUCUAGACCUUCUCCUGUUUAGAUCAGGAAGCUGGCCAGCUCAGAUUCAGUUGAAGGGAUCUCCUGCUCAGUUCAACAUGACAUAGAAAGAUCACUGUUUGUAUGUUCACAGACACAUUCAUCAGCCUAGUUUUAUGCCAAAAGGAUGAACAGAAAUGCAACAUCAUGUUUUGAGGAAGGUAAUGUACAAAACCCAUACAGUCCCUCUCAUGAACA